rnacentral:rRNA from 1 species
UACGGAGGGGGCUAGCGUUGUUCGGAAUUACUGGGCGUAAAGCGCGCGUAGGCGGACCUGCAAGUCGGGGGUGAAAGCCCGAGGCUCAACCUCGGAACUGCCUUCGAUACUGCGGGUCUCGAGUCCGGGAGAGGUGAGUGGAAUUCCUAGUGUAGAGGUGAAAUUCGUAGAUAUUAGGAAGAACACCAGUGGCGAAGGCGGCUCCACUGGCCCGGUACUGACGCUGAGGCGCGAAAGCGUGGGGAGCAAACAGG